rnacentral:lncRNA from 1 species
UCCUUCUACAAGUCUAGUUUCAUACAGUGUCAAUUUUAGCCUCCAAGGCACCAUCAUAUUUAGAUGUGGUAGAACAAAACAUUUAUUCUAUCAAUAGUUAUUUUUUUCCCACGUGAAUCAGAUGAUACCGGUCAUUAUCUAUGGUGUCUUGAAAACGCUAAACAAGCACGUUCAAUUCUUGAUGAUUCCAGCAAGUUGCAUCUAUCUGACAGUGACUUAGUAGCCACAUCAAUUGUGGAUUGUCGCUUCGAAGCAAACUACACAAAAAAAGUUGUUAUAAAACAUGCCACAUCUAGUCAUGAAAUUUUUUUGCAUAUAUGCAGUCGAAGUUAGAUGACGAAGGCAAAGAUAAACCUUGAUUCUCUUCAACUUCGUAUUCUUAGAUCUUUUUUCAUUGAGCAUCACAUGUGACUACUUCCUGGUAACCAACAAAACACACAUUCAGAUACGAAAAAAUUGAAUUCAGUUUUUGAAAAAUAUAUGAUAACAAAUAAUGCACAAAUAAUUAACUUUAAGGAUGUUGCAGCCUACUCAAUCAUGCAAACUCAGUGCAUGUACAAAUGACCAAAAUGAAUGUCUGAACUAUGAAUACAAUCGUCUUUACAUCAGUUUUCAAUUGUGGAAAAAAUAUGUAGCUACUAAUGAAUUAUACAAACUAUAAAAAUUCAGUUACGCUUGCCAUAUAUAUUAGAUGCAAUUCCAAAUUUAUUUAUUUUCCACGCACAAAAAUCACACUAUUACAUCACCUACCCAACCUUCUAAUUUCAAGAACCAUCAAUACUCCAUCAUUUCUUAAUAUCUAAUAAAUUUGAAGAGAUAUUCCAAAGCAAAAAAUGUUAGAUCUCGAAAUUUAUGCACUUCAAGUGGAAUAUAAAUGAUACACUGACCAAUAGAAGGCUUUAAAAAAUAUUCGCAGUAGAUAUUACUUCACCGUUUAGAAUCAAGAACUAAUAUUUCCAUCAUUUUUUAUUCCUUGGCAAUUUCAUGUUUUAAAGAUCUCUCACAAGAAAAUGCAUAGCCUAUCUUUUAUUCUUUAAAGCAAAGAAGCUUUCUAACCAAAGAUGAUGGAAUCCCACCUUGACUAAUUUAAGGACUUUGAAUACUAUAGAAAACCAAAAGCCUUAAGGUUCUAGCAAGCCUAAUAUAACUCAUGAUCAAAUAAUUUCAAGCUUCUCAAAAUACGAAUGUCGUCAAAUUGAUCUCAUCUUUCAAUAUCGACAAUAAUAUGUUUGUUCAGGCCCUAUAGAAUAUUGUUCAAAAGUACCAUUGAAGUUGAAAUUUCAAACAAAACCUAUCGCGUCUCAAUAGAAAAACCAAUUAGUUAAGUGUAAGAUAAAAAAUAAAUGACUGCAUGUUGUAUGAAAACACAAGGCAGAAGAAGGUGCUUAUGAAAAUGAAUUCAUACAUGAGCAGUUCAGAGCCUCUUAAACAUAAGUUGGUGAAAUCGUGGUAAUAACAAUAGAAAAUAUAAUUGCAUCCCGCAUCAAGAAAUAACCAUAUCCAUUGCAUAUUAAAAAAUAGACAUGGAAGGAAAGAAGCCAUCCAAGAUCAGUUAUCGUAACUUAUCAUUAGAAUCCUGUUAUCUUUACAGGAUUUGUUCUAUCAUUUGCUAAAUUGUCCUGCAUCCUAUCUGGCUUGUCAAGUGAUAAGCAUCAAGACUGCGAGAUAUUUAACUCUAAUCUUGAAUGUAUGAAAAGUAGCAGUUAAUAGGUAAAGAUAAAUAGGAGUCCAUCUUAUAACAAAAAGAUAUUUGUCAAUCAGUUGUAGAAAGAAAUUAACAGGGAUUCAUGGAAACAUCAAGAACAAGUUUUUGAUCCAUUUUUGAGCAAUGUAAAUGAACAACUAUUAGAUAGUUAAAACUGAAGAAGCUUCUUUCAGAUGCAUCAAACUGAAUAUUCAUAUAAAAUAGUGUCGCACUAACUUUCUCUGCAUAAAUAGACCAAUUGAAGCUUUUACACCAGAUAGAGUUCAUCGACAUCUAUAUUAGUAUGUUGACCAAUUCUUUUUACACUAGCAGAACUAUUAGCAGUUGUUGUAGCUAUCCAACAGUGAAGGUCUACUAGAUUCUGCUAUACAAAGUACUACAAAGUGAAUAGAUACUAAAUUGUAUGUUACUGAACAUCACAAUAGGCUACAAUAAUAUCCAUAUUGAAUACUAACAAAGGCAAUUAUUGGUAAUUAAACUAUACUCACAACAAGAAUUUUAAAUGCAUACUUGAGUUUGUGUGUAGAGUGUACGUCUU